rnacentral:lncRNA from 1 species
CUGCCUUAGCUCUACCAAGAUAGAGCUCUCAACUAUCUAUUAAUAUUCCUUUUCAUUUAAACUAUUUACUUUCAAUCCCUAUUUCUGUGUAGUAAGCUCUUUUCAACUCAUCUCUCCCUCUAUAAUAUCAACUCCUCCCCCCUCUAAUAACCACUUCUUGAUCAGUACUUACUACCUGUUAGAAGUCCCACAUUGGCUAGAGAUAUGACAAAGAUAGCCUUUAUAAGUGUGCUAGCUUUUGUGGUUGAGUAUAGGCCUCCCAAAUUCUAAUACUACCUUUGAUUCCUAAUUCAAAGGGGAGCUUUAUUUGGUUCCUAACGACUGUAAUUUCUUUGAUUAAUGAGCUAAGUCACAAAAAUUCUAUUUUGCAGUGUUAUUUAAUUUAAUUUUUUUGUUGAUCUGUUAGUUUUCUUCAAUUUAUUUCAUUGUUUUUAUUUUUUAAAAGAGCUCAAAACUAUUGGUCCAAAUUUUAUAACCUCACAAAAUUAGCCUGUAUUGAGUCUUUUAACCUAAAUGGUUAAAUGCUUAAGCAAAGAGGUAAAAGUGUGAAAAUAAGAAGUCUGAUGCUAAAUAUCAUUCACAAGUAAAACGGAAUUCAUAUGCAGGUGAAAAUGAAAAAACAAAAAACAAUGUGCAAAC